CACGUAGGGCGCAAGCGUUGUCCGGAAUUAUUGGGCGUAAAGAGCUCGUAGGCGGUCUGUUGCGUCCGCUGUGAAAACUCGGGGCUUAACCCCGAGCCUGCAGUGGAUACGGGCAGACUAGAGGUAGGUAGGGGAGAAUGGAAUUCCCGGUGUAGCGGUGAAAUGCGCAGAUAUCGGGAGGAACACCGGUGGCGAAGGCGGUUCUCUGGGCCUUCCACUGACGCUGAGGAGCGAAAGCGUGGGGAGCGAACAGG
rnacentral:rRNA from 1 species